rnacentral:pre_miRNA from 1 species
GACAUACUCCCUCCGUCCGAAAAAGUUUGUCCCUCAAAUUGAUGUUCUAACAUCAAGUUAGUGAUAGAUACAUUGAGAGGCUUCGGGACAACUUUUUUCGGACGGAGGGAGUACAAC